GACGAACGCUGGCGGCGUGCUUAACACAUGCAAGUCGAACGGAAAGGCCCUGCUUUUGUGGGGGGCUCGAGUGGCGAACGGGUGAGUAACACGUGAGUAACCUGCCCUUGACUUUGGGAUAACUUCAGGAAACUGGGGCUAAUACCGGAUAGGAGCUCCUGCUGCAUGGUGGGGGUUGGAAAGUUUCGGCGGUUGGGUAUGGAGGCGCGGCUGAUCAGCUUGUUGGGGGGGUGGUGGCUUACCAAGGCUUUGACGGGUAGCCGGCGUGAGAGGGUGGCCGGCCACAUGGGGACGGAGACACGGGCCAGACGCCGACGGGAGGCAGCAGUGGGGGAGAGUGCACAAUGGGCGUGAGACUGAUGCAGCGACGCCGCGUGAGGGAUGGAGGCCUGCGGGGUGUGAAGCGCGUGGGCCAGUGAAGCAGGCCCGCCUCGGGUGUGGGGGGGUGGACGGUAGCUGGAGAAGAAGCGCCGGCUAACUACGUG
rnacentral:rRNA from 1 species